CAGAAGCAGAAUAGUCAAGGAAGGUCCCAUGGAGGCAGCCAGAUCCAAUGUGAGCACUGAACAGUGGAGGAUGUGAUCACAGGGAAAAGAGGGAAGUCAUGAAAUCCAGGGAAUACACAGAGACAGAAUCUCUCAAGGACCUGAAGAAUGGUUGAGGAAACACUGAAAGGAGAAGAUCACAGACCCACCAGGAGGAGAGUGCACCAGGCCAAGCACUGGUCCUCAGGGGUCCCUUCAUGACCUGCCCCUGAAAACUUCACUUCAGCCCAGUCACCUGAACCAAGACCAGAGGACCACCUCCAGGCGGAGCCACUCUAGGAGCCCUUAUCUUUAGGGACAGCAAACACAACCCCCAUUCCAACCACUUGGGCUCACAGCCAUA